rnacentral:rRNA from 1 species
UACGAAGGGGGCUAGUGUUGUUCGGAAUUACUGGGCGUAAAGCGUGCGCAGGCGGCUUCUCAAGUCAGGGGUGAAAGCCCAGAGCUCAACUCUGGAAUUGCCUUUGAGACUGAGUGGCUUGAGUACGAGAGAGGUGAGUGGAAUUCCCAGUGUAGAGGUGAAAUUCGUAGAUAUUGGGAAGAACACCGGUGGCGAAGGCGGCUCACUGGCUCGUAACUGACGCUCAUGCACGACAGCGUGGGGAUCAAACAGG